rnacentral:rRNA from 1 species
ACGGGGGCUUCGGCCCCAGUGGCGAACGGUCGCGUAACACGUAAGCAACCUGCCCUGAAGUGGGGGACAACAUUCCGAAAGGGGUGCUAAUACCGCAUGUGGUCACGAGUCGGCAUCGACUUGUGUCUAAAGAUUUAUCGCUUCAGGAUGGGCUUGCGGCCUAUCAGGUAGUUGGUGGGGUAAUGGCCUACCAAGCCGACGACGGGUAGCUGGUCUGAGAGGACGAUCAGCCGGAUUGGGACUGAGAUACGGCCCAGACUCCUACGGGGGGCAGCAAUUAGGAAUCUUGCGCAAUGGGGGCAACCCUGACGCAGCGACGUCGCGUGAAGGAUGAAGGCCCUCGGGUCGUAAACUUCUUUUGAGUGGGAAGAAAUUUGACGGUACCACUCGAAUAAGCCCCGGCUAACUACGUGCCAGCAGCCGCGGUAAUACGUAGGGGGCGAGCGUUGUCCGAAGUUACUGGGCGUAAAGCGCGCGUAGGCGGUUAUUUAAGUCUGGGGUGAAAGGUUCAGCGCUCAACGUGAACAGUGCCUUGGAUACUGGAUGACUUGAGUCUGGGAGGGGGAAGGGGAAUUCCUGGUGUAGCGGUGAAAUGCGUAGAUAUCAGGAGGAACACCGGUGGCGAAGGCGCCUUCCUGGCCUAAGACUGACGCUGAGGUGCGAAAGCGUGGGGAGCAAACGGGAUUAGAUACCCCGGUAGUCCACGCCGUANACGAUGAGUGCUAGGUGUCGGGGGUAUCGACCCCCCCGGUGCCGUCGCUAACGCAUUAAGCACUCCGCCUGGGGAGUACGGCCGCAAGGUUGAAACUCAAAGGAAUUGACGGGACCCCGCACAAGCGGUGGAGCAUGUGGAUUAAUUCGUCACUAACCGAAGAACCUUACCCAGGUUUGACAUCGAGGGUAAACCAUGAAAGUGGUACC